CUUUCUCGGCAGCGCCGUAGAGCGCGAGCAGACGGUGCAGCAUGGCGCACAGCGGAGGCCGCGGGCGGCCGAACCCGGCGUGUCCUUGGGCGUUUCCAGGUGCAACAAAACCUGUCUCAUUUGAAGGUGCUUGAACAAAUAUUUUCUAAACACUUGUCAUGGAGAGUGAUUGAAACAAGCUGCCAGGACUACAUUUGCCAAUAACAAGCAUGUAGGUGGCUGUAGUGGAUGUCCAACUUUGGGAGCUGUGAUGUCUAAAAAUCCUUUAUUGUUUUGGGUGCAGCUUACAUAUUGGAAGGUAAAAUGAAGGCCAUGAACAAAGUCAAGAAGCCAUAAACAGAAGCAAAUGGUGAAAAUUAAUAUCUAAUUUAAUAUUAAUAAGUUAUAUAAAUAAACAGUUAUUCUUAAUUGCUGUGGGCAGUAAUUUCUUUAAAAUGUCAUUCUCGUAGUAAAAUAAACUCGUCUUUCAUGA
ensembl:lincRNA Snhg6 small nucleolar RNA host gene 6